rnacentral:misc_RNA from 1 species
CUCAGCCGUCAGUCCCCAAUAAAAAUGGCCGCUACGCCGAUAAGCCACUUGGGCGAUCGGGGAAAGGGAGAUUAUGAAGAAUGAGAAAUCGGACACGGCGAGGAAAUGGCGCGGAAUAAAAGAGCUGCCGGAGCACCGCCGCGAGCACCGCCGUGUACUCCUCUAGAAUCUCCGCCAGUACCGAUACUAGCAUCAUCUCCGGCGUCAACGUAGAGAAUCAAUGCAGCAGCAAAAGCAAUUGAAAUGAUGAAUUGACGAAC